GACGAACGCUGGCGGCGUGCUUAACACAUGCGAGUCGAACGGAAAGGCCCUGCUUUUGUGGGGUGCUCGAGUGGCGAACGGGUGAGUAACACGUGAGUAACCUGCCCUUGACUUUGGGAUAACUUCAGGAAACUGGGGCUAAUACCGGAUAGGAGCUCCUGCUGCAUGGGGGGGGUUGGAAAGUUUCGGCGGUUGGGGAUGGACUCGCGGCUUAUGAGCUUGUUGGUGGGGUAGUGGCUUACCAAGGCUUUGACGGGUAGCCGGCCUGAGAGGGUGACCGGCCACCAUGGGCCUGAGAUACGGACCAGUCUCCAACGGGCGGCAGCAGUGGGGAAUAUUGCACAAUGGGCGGAAGCCUGAUGCAGCAACGCCGCGUGCGGGAUGACGGCCUUCGGGUUGUAAACCGCUUUCGCCUGUGACGAAGCGUGAGUGACGGUAAUGGGUAAAGAAGCACCGGCUAACUACGUG
rnacentral:rRNA from 1 species